CCUACGGGGGGCAGCAGUGAGGAAUAUUGGUCAAUGGGCGCGAGCCUGAACCAGCCAAGUAGCGUGAAGGAUGACUGCCCUACGGGUUGUAAACUUCUUUUAUAAAGGAAUAAAGUGAGGCACGUGUGCCUUUUUGUAUGUACUUUAUGAAUAAGGAUCGGCUAACUCCGUGCCAGCAGCCGCGGUAAUACGGAGGAUCCGAGCGUUAGCCGGAUUGAUUGGGUGUAAAGGGAGCGUAGGCGGGACUGCAAGUUGGGUGUCAAAUCUACCGGCGCAACCGGUAGCCGCACUCAAAACUGCAGUUCUGGAGUGAAGUAGAGGCAGGCGGAAUUCCUAGUGUAGCGGUGAAAUGCGUAGAUAUUAGGAGGAACACCGAUUGCGAAGGCAGCUUACUAAACUGCCACUGACAUUGAUGCUCGAAAGUGUGGGUAUCAAACAGGAUUAGAUACCCCUGUAGUC
rnacentral:rRNA from 1 species